rnacentral:lncRNA from 1 species
GAUAAUGUCGUCGUCGGCAGCAAUAGAUAGCGGCGCCGUCGGCAGCGGUAGGUGUAGCGACAGAGGCAACCGAAAUUUUUUCCUCAAAAGAACCUUAGACUUUAGAUACAAUGUUGAAUAUAGUAAAAAUUAUCUAUGAAAUUAAUCUCCCUUAUGUUGAAUAUAGAGGGUCCUCUAUUUAUAAUAAAGAAAAUAUAAACUAAACCCAAC